UGUUGUUCUAUAUACAGUCAAUUGAACAGAUUUUAGUGUUUAUAACCCCUCAUCGCACUCUCAAUUGACUACUGAGAGAUAACUUUUCACUUCCAAGGUAUCCUAUAAUAUUCAACUUAUUUUCUCUAGACACAUACUCGCAAGCUUACAUUUUAAUAAAAAUCUCCAGAGAGAAGCGAAACGUAAACCAGAUGGAACAAACCAAUACAGGGUGAUGUACCCAAAAUUUAAGAAUGGAGUUGCUACAGUACGAGCUGUCACAGUUCAGCAAUGUUUUGAUUAUGUUGAUGAAAUUUAUAAAUUCAUGGAAGAGUCCGUUAUAAAUGAAAGCCUGCCAGUUGUCCUUGCAGAGUUGAUAGAGUCAACUCCCUGUCCCAUGAAUACCAUGCUUGAUAAACAGGACAAAGCUGCCAGUAAAGCAAAGCACAUUGCCCGAAAAUCAAUGGUCACUGAAGCCGUCCCAUCUACAAGUACUGUACAAAGAACUUGAUCCAGAGAACCAUACAAUUAGAAGAUGGAGGCAACACUCAUUGUCGUUGAUGGACUUAAAUGAAAUUGUACAUAAACAUCAUAAAGCUGAACCUAAAUGCUUCUACUUUAUAUAGGGCUGCCCUGGC